UACGAAGGGGGCUAGCGUUGCUCGGAAUUACUGGGCGUAAAGCGCACGUAGGCGGAUUGUUAAGUCGGGGGUGAAAUCCCGGAGCUCAACUCCGGAACUGCCUUCGAUACUGACGAUCUUGAGUCCGGGAGAGGUGAGUGGAACUGCGAGUGUAGAGGUGAAAUUCGUAGAUAUUCGCAAGAACACCAGUGGCGAAGGCGGCCUUCUGGCCUGCAACUGACGCUGUAGCUCGAAAGCGUGGGGAGCGAACCGG
rnacentral:rRNA from 1 species